AAAGUUUUUAAUAAAGCAACUAGCUUGUAGCAGCCCACUCCUAACUAGGGGCAAGGGGAACAGUCAGUCUUGGGCAUGCUCAGUAGUGCUCAUGGCUGGGAAGGCCUCUGACCCUUGACCCCAGCUUCUCCCAGGUUAGGCGGGAAAACAGGUUUCUUUGUUCUCACCUGGUUAAGAGAAACCACACCUGCGCCUUGUCAUUGACCAAUGAGGGUCAUCCCUAUGUACUGUGUAUAUUUGCAUAUCAAAAACUAUAUCUAGCCCAGCAGGCUCCGCCUUCGCUCUCUCUGCCCUCUGCUCUCUGCCCUCUGCUCUCUGCCCUCUGCUCUCUGCUCUCUGCCCUCUGCUCUCUGCUUUCUUCUCUCUGCGCUCUGCGCUCCUUCUCUUUCAGGCUACCUGAUGGCUGUCCUUGCAGGAGCUUGGCCUCUGGCCAAGCUCCAUCUUUAAUCUUUCUCUCUCCCCCUUUCCUUUAUAUGCCAUGCUUUUGCCUCAAUAAACGACUUCUCUUUGCAUACCAUGUGAGAGCUGUCCGUACCUUCUUUCUCGCUUCCCCUUUCCUUCUCUCUCUCCCCCUUUCCCUCUCAGGGGUCGUAAGGGGCUGGUCCCCGGCAUCUGGCAGCCCAACGUGGGGCCCGAGCGACCACCGGACGACUGAGGAAAAAUUCGGCGCCGAAAUCGAGACUACAGUAACGGGUAGGGAUCGAAUAGACGAUCCUGAGGAAAUCGAGACUACAGUAACGGGUAGGGAUCGAACAGAUCCUGAGGAAGGAUAAUGAAAACAUCUGGUCUCCCACGUCAUGCUUCAUGCCAGCUGAUACAGACCAGGAAGAGAAGCAGACGGAAGGUGAUGGCAUCAGCUACCUACAUGCCAGCCACAAUCCAGACUCGCUGGAAGGACACUUCUUUGGCGACUAAUAUCACUCUAGAACAAUGACAUUACACUAUUAGAGACAUUGGCUAUUAGGCCACUGAUGGACACUUGUCAUGCUGACAUCCAUUGAGAUGGGGUACCCAGAGCAACAUCAAGUAUGCUAAUUCAGAAGGACUAAAUCACACUUGUGUCUGUACAAGACACCAGAUACAUCCCACAUUCCAAAGACUUUGCUAUGGGAUUGAGAUGAAUUACCUACAAAUUGUCUAGCUGCUAAUGUAUACCUUGUAUUUUGUAUAUGAUACUGUCAAAGGGAAUUUUGUAUGCAUUAUGAAUUGUAUGCAUUGUAAAGCUACCACUUGUAUUGUAAGAAAUGCUGUUAUCAACAAGGGUAUAGACCUUGGUAGGACUCUCCAAAGAGUAGGAGAUAGAAAACUCUCAUCCAUAGGAUAGAUCUGAUAUUUCUGACAUCAAAAAUGAGGUGCUACGCAGAAAAUGCUGCACAGACAGGUUUAAUGGACAGAUGACACUGAUGUUACUCUCAAGAAAGAAUGAGAGAUCAGGAAAAAGACACUAGGAAAUCUUUAAUCAGGAACCUGAGUUAUUGUAAGAGAUCAUUGACAUCCAGGCAAAGAUUAUGUUCCUGACAUUACAUUAAGGGCUGACUACCAUAGCAGUAGUUAAGUGUUAAUACCAUUGUUAACCAUUACUCCUGAUACCCUGUUUUUGUGGGUAAUAUCUUGAUAGGAAAAAUGUCUUGCUCUCCUCCAACAGUCCCAGAAUUCAGACGGCCGCUGGAUUCGGGAUCUAUUGGCUUCCCUUUCAUAUACUGGAAGACGUUCUGGUAUAUGGAAGUAAGACCUCAUGAAAAACUGAGGGCUCUAGGUUUGACAAUUUCUGUG
rnacentral:lncRNA from 1 species